rnacentral:rRNA from 1 species
AAUUUUCCGCAAUGGGCGAAAGCCUGACGGAGCAAGACCGCGUGGGGGAGGAAAGCCUUUGGGUUGUAAACCCCUUUUCUCAGGGAAGAAGAAAGUGACGGUACCUGAGGAAUCAGCCUCGGCUAACUCCGUGCCAGCAGCCGCGGUAAUACGGAGGAGGCAAGCGUUAUCCGGAAUGAUUGGGCGUAAAGCGUUCGUAGGUGGCCCUUCAAGUCUGCUGUCAAAGACGGGAGCUCAACUCCUGAAAGGCAGUGGAAACUGAAGAGCUGGAGUGCGGUAGGGGCAGAGGGAAUUCCCGGUGUAGCGGUGAAAUGCGUAGAGAUCGGGAAGAACACCGGUGGCGAAAGCGCUCUGCUGGGCCGCAACUGACACUGAGGGACGAAAGCUAGGGGAAGCGAAUGGGAUUAGAUACCCCAUGUAG